rnacentral:rRNA from 1 species
UACGUAGGGUGCAAGCGUUUGUCCGGAAUUAUUGGGCGUAAAGAGCUCGUAGGCGGUCUGUCGCGUUUGGCUGUGAAAACUCGGGGGCUCAACCCCCGAGCCUGCAGUCGAUACGGGCAGACUAGAGUGCUGUAGGGGAGACUGGAAUUCCUGGUGUAGCGGUGAAAUGCGCAGAUAUCAGGAGGAACACCGGUGGCGAAGGCGGGUCUCUGGGCAGUAACUGACGUGAGGAGCGAAAGCGUGGGGAGCGAACG